AAUUAAUAAGCUUUUAUAGUUUAUGUCUUGAAAACAUAAGAAAGAAGUUCAAUCUUCUAUUAAUUU
rnacentral:tRNA from 1 species